rnacentral:lncRNA from 12 species
CCCCCCCCCCCCCCCCCCCCCCCCCCCCCCCCCCCCCCCCCCCCCCCCCCCCCCCCCCCCCCUUUUUUUCUUUUUUUAGGUGCUUCCGGCUGCCCUUCGCCCUACUGCCAGCUCGCCGGUGUGCGGAGGUCGGAGUGGAGGUCCGGAAAACAAAAAAAUCCCAAACAAAAUCCAGCCGGUCCGCCCCGGGAGCGUGGGAAGCGGCGCGUGCCCCGUGCUGCUGCCGGCCGCUCCCCGGGCGCCAGGGCCGCUGAGGGGCCGUGCUCGGGAAGAGACCCCUGCCCCAGGUCGGAAAGAGCCUGGCUUACCUCUGCAAGGCACAGGGGGAAAGGGAUGCGCAGAUUUCUUAGAAAGGUGCCUUUAAAAGGCAUCCGGUUACAUUGCUGUCUGUAUUGUGGGUGUUUUUACUUCUCCCGUCACGGGGACGCUUCAAAGGAUUUUGUGCUGUGGACCAGUUCAAUUAGUAUCAAAUAAGAAAACAGCUCACGGCGCGGAGGUUAUGUGUCCCACCACCAUUCUGUUCCUCAUUACUUAUACUUCGUUCCUUAUGCUGUUGAGGCAGUAUAAGUUUGUGUCCAGGUCCAAAGGGAAUCCUAACAGGUUCUGGUAGUUUAUCAGUCAGAUGAUGAGGAAGUCAUCUGCAAGGUUCCCAAGACAGCAGGGAAAGAGUACCAAAUUAGCGUCCCACUGGCAGAAGUGGUUGCAACAUGAAUUUCUAACUGGCACCAUCCACUUAGUAAAAAACAUGAAUGGGACAAAUGCUGCUGUUCCCGAGGAAGCAGUGAGUUUACCUAGGGGUGGGAAUAGGAUAUUGUAUCAUUGGCCAGAAAAAAACAAAAACAAACUGCAUAAGAAUAUGAGAAAAUUGGGUAAGUGUAUGGAAAGUGUUAAUAUAAUGAGUAAAGAAAAUAAGAAUCCAUCAUUCCAGCUUUCAGUGUCUAGAAAGCAAGAAGUGCUAGAGAUUGCUUGUUUUCCAAAUUUGAAAAAAAGACUUCAAUAUGCUAUGCAACUCUGGAAAAAGCUUUAGAAGGCUUUUCAUCUAUUGUUAAACACACCUGACUUUCCGUUUCCAGCUAGUUGCUCAUCCAGCACACUGUACAAAUUGUAAGUGGGCGCUAAAAAGGCAAAAACACUUUUGAAGGCUGUAUGACUCAAGUUUGUCCCUUCCUCUGUCCCCUCCAUCUGCUGAAUUGCAAGAGAUGCUGGGUUUGCUUUUUUUCUUAGUACGUGGAUGCCCUGAGCCACGUCCCCCACUACAGGAGCCUUUCAUUACUGUGAAAGUGAUUGAGAAGAACUAGUUGUAAUUUGAGUUCUUCAUCAGUAACAAAGGUGGGCCUUAGAGAAAAUCCUUCAAGAGCCAAAAAUGUUCAUAUCCUUUGCACAAUUCAUAAGGGUUAUAGCAAUACAUAGAGUUCAUACUAAUGUUCAGGAUGCAAUAUUUACUGAAGUGUAAGUUAAAAGAAAAAGACAAAGAUAGGAAAAUGACAUUAUGACAAAGUUACUUAAUACUCUCUAAGAAAACAAGGAUUUAAUUCACAGGUAUGCACCUUAGGUAUCAAAUACCAGAUUUAAUAUUUUGACAUUAGGAAAUUAAGUUUCUUAGUCUGAUUCUUCUUGGUCAUUUUAGGCUUCAAACAAAAACAAGCCAGGUAUGAAUUGUCUAUUUGGAGAAUGUCCCAUAUUGGAGAAUAGUGUGAAUUUGAAAGCCUGUCCUUAGGGAAUAGUCAUAUUCUCCUUAACUCCUACAUUACUUAUCUCAGUUUUUGCCAGCCUACAGGUGUUUUUGCACCAAUUGCAAUGGUAAAUGCGGGAAUGGAAAAAAUAUUCAUGGUGUUAAAGAUACUUGAGCGGUUAUGUGACCUGUGAAAUACCAAUAGUGUUAUGGCACAGACUCAAAUUAGAGUUUUAGAUUGUAUACUAGGAGUUUUAAAUAUUAAUGAUGUUCAAGUUCUGUGCUUAGUUUCUGUAUUUUAUAUAUGUAUAUAAAGCAUUUAAUUUUAUGUAAGCACAUUGUUAGAAAAGAUUUAU